rnacentral:lncRNA from 1 species
GUCAUUACUUACACUUAUGCUAUUGUGCAACCAUUCUCAUCAUCUCCAGAACUUUUUUGUCUUUCCAAAUUGAAAUCCUGUACCCAUUAAAUACUAACUCCCUUUCUCUUCUCUCCACAGUCCCUGGAAACUACCAUUCUUCUUUCUGUCUCCAUAAAUUUGACUAUUCAAAUGGACUUCAAAUAAGUGAAACUAAACAGUGUUUGUCUUUUGGUGACUUGCUUGCUUCAUCGUCCUCAAGUUCCCUCCAUGUUGUAGAAUGUAUUGUUUUCUUCCUUUUUAAAGGUAGAUAGAGAUGUUCCAACUACUGGCAAGUCCUCUUGAAAAACAGGACCCUAGAGUGUUCACAGCUAUGCUAUCCAAUCUU